AGGCACUACGGUCUUCCACAUAUGAUCGCCCGGGUGCCGGUCUUGUGCUGCCGCCGCUCGUUGGCGUCUCGCCUUAGCGGCGCGGUCGCUGCGGCGCGCGCGCCCACAUUGGCCAGCAAGGUACGGCGAGCCUCGUCCACCUCCUCCCCGGAGACGCCGGUGUUCCCUUGCGCAGCGUCUGGCGCGGCAGCGGAGUGGUCUGCUGCUCUCCCGGACAUCCCCUACGGCUUCCCGGAGAGAGACUCCACCGUUUUCGCCGCGGAGCGAAGCGGCGGCCUCCAGAAGCGGUGGCUGCAAGACCUUCCACGCCAGGUCAGCAGCAGCACCAAUAGCGCCGGCCCCAAUGCCGGCUCGAUCCUGGUGGAGCGCUACCUCCCCAACAAAGAGGACUUCUGGCGGAGCCCGCCGUACGAGGCGCUGCGUGAGAUUGUGCUGCACUCCCCGUACCACGACGCGUUGAAGAUUAUCAUGGAGCACGACUACCGCUUUCUCUUUGCCGAUGUCAUGUGCAACGCCGAGGCGCCGAUGCCACACAUCAUCUACGAGGACUUCAUGAAGUGUCUUACGUUCUCCUCGCGUCAGCAGCCGCCGGAGGAGCAGUUCGCGCUUCCCGAGCCCGUGUUGCGGGAUCUGCUCUGCUGGGCGGCCUACCACUGCACGCUGGAUCGCUUCUACUUCACCUCCGCCUCCACACUCUUUCGCAAGGUGGAGCAGGAGCAGCACAUGAGUGCGGCCGUGCACAGUGCGUGGGUGUAUAUCUGCACGGCGGCGGGCAAGCUGGAAGAGGCGCUCGCCUACGCCGCCUACAUGGAGGCGAACCGCAUCCCGUUUGACGCGGACGUUUUUGCCCGCUUGAUGCACCCAUCUCUCACACCGGCUCAGCAGCACCUGCAGCAGGCGCCGCAGACAUCGAAGGGCGUCGUGCUGCAGCGGCGCCUCUGCCAAGACAUGAGCCAGCACCACGGCACGAUGUCAGUGGCGGUGCACGCCAUGUUCGUUUACCACAUCCUGACUCUCCGGCAUACGCGCAAGUGGGAGGUGCUGCGUGGAGCUGCGGAGCUGUUCAAUCGGCGGCAACGGCGAGCGAGGAGCAGAAGCGGUCUUGUGGCUCCUGCCUCCUCCACGCCAGCUGCUGCGUCCGCCGCGGAGUCACCGCUCGAGGUGAUCUGCUCCCGCACCAUGCAGCUUGCUAUGUCGCUCUUCUGUAGGGAGAAGGGCGUCCGCUGGGGGCCUCGCACGGCGAAGGAGAUGAUUGCCUUCAUGUUGGACAACGAGGAGGCCGGCUGCACUAUGGCGGACGUUCUAUUUGUGCUGAUGCGCAUCCGACGCAACGAGCGUACAGGGAUGCUGGCCGCGCUUCCCAGAACAGCUUUCAGCGCAGAGGAGCAGGAGGCGCUGCUGCGCGUCACGUAUCGCCGCACUCGGCGCGAUCCGGCGUACGCGGUAGCGGGACCGCUGCUGCGUGAGCUGCUUGCAGCGGAUGGGUUCAGUGGCGCAGCGGCAGGGGAUGACGGAAGCGGCAGCGACGAGGCUGUCAACCGUGCCAUGCGGCACCUGCAGAAACUCGCCUCAUCAGUGGCGGACUACGACGCCUACGCCGGGUCCUCAAACCUCUCCAUCUCUCCAGCAGCGGCUGUGGGUGCGCCGUAUCGCGGAACGGGAGAACGAUGUGCACCGGCAGCGGGGGAUAGCGCAGCCGUUGACGACGAGCGGUGCAGCCUGACCUCUCUCUCGGGAGCCAUGAUGGAGCAGCUGCGCGAGGAAGAGAUGCCAUCGCCGCCGGCGGAAAUAGCGCGCGAUCUCUUGGCUGCCGUGAUGGCGCUGGAUCGCGAAAGCGUGGUAGCAGCACCGGCAACAAGAAGGGGGAGUGGUGACGCACAGACAACGCUAAACGAGUCGUCGCGAACUGCAUCCUUGGCGACGCCUGCAGCGCCAGAGGAGGAUCGGCUUCGCGAUCUUUAUGUGUCUCUGGAAGCGAUGGGGACACCGUCAAGCCUGUCUGCAUGGUCGCUGCAGCAGCUGCAGCGGGAAGAAGAGGAGGCACGGCUCCGCCGGCAGGUAGCGAAUGCGUGGAUAUCGCCCGCCUACGUGCCACGGUAAGGUGUGUGGGGCUGGCGAAAGUAGCAAGCCCCAAAGCUGCCGUCACCCCACCCCCGGAAGCCGCACGCCUCUGAUGGAAUCAUCCGUCGUCUUCUGCAUCUCCUUGUGGUGUCUUACCCAUCACAUCCUCGCACAUUGGUGUUUUGCCUCGCUUGUGUGAGCCUGCAUAUCUGUCUGUGUGCGCUGCUCGAGUUCUAAAUCGCGAGAGCCCGGAAGGAACACACACGUGCCACUGACUCCCUAACAGAGCAAAACCUAACAAAAGCAAUCCAUGCGCGAACGGAAGUCGGUUAACAGCCAUGCAGCGCGUUAGCCACAUCCAGAUGCGCCUGGCCUAUGUUCUGCCGCUUUUCUUUUCGCUGCUUGUGGCCGGGGAGGUGUCUCUCUUGAAAGGAUGUGCAGCCCCAACCGGGGCAUCAGCGAG
rnacentral:misc_RNA from 1 species